AACCUGGUUGGGUGGUCUGCCUUCACGGUACGUACUGCUUGGCCGGGUUCUACCUCUUGGUGAGCCGGCAUGCCCUUCACUGGGUGUGUCGGGGAACCAGGACUUUUACCUUGAAAAAAUUAGAGUGUUCAAAGCAGGCCUACGCUCGGAUACAUUAGCAUGGAAUAAUGGAAUAGGACG
rnacentral:rRNA from 1 species